AUUGAACGCUGGCGGCAGGCUUAACACAUGCAAGUCGAGCGCGUGGCAACACGAGCGGCGGACGGGUGAGUAACACGUGGGAACAUACCCUUUUCUACGGAAUAACGCAGGGAAACUUGUGCUAAUACCGUAUACGCCCUUAGGGGGAAAGAUUUAUCGGAGAAGGAUUGGCCCGCGUUGGAUUAGCUAGUUGGUGGGGUAAAGGCCUACCAAGGCGACGAUCCAUAGCUGGUCUGAGAGGAUGAUCAGCCACAUUGGGACUGAGACACGGCCCAAACUCCUACGGGAGGCAGCAGUGGGGAAUAUUGGACAAUGGGCGCAAGCCUGAUCCAGCCAUGCCGCGUGAGUGAUGAAGGCCUUAGGGUUGUAAAGCUCUUUCACCGGAGAAGAUAAUGACGGUAUCCGGAGAAGAAGCCCCGGCUAACUUCGUGCCAGCCGCCGCAGUAA
rnacentral:rRNA from 1 species